rnacentral:misc_RNA from 1 species
UCUGGCUUAUAGCCAAGCGGUCCUAUUAGAGUGCCCAACUUAAUGCUGGUAACUAAUAGCGAGGGUUGCGCUCGUUGCGGGACUUAACCCAACAUCUCACAACACGAGCUGACGACAGCCAUGCAGCACCUGUCACCGCGUCCCCGAAGGGAACCCCUGCUUUCACAGGGUAGCGCGGGAUGUCAAGCCCAGGUAAGGUUUUUCGCGUAGCAUCGAAUUAAACCACAUGUUCCACCGCUUGUGCGGGCCCCCGUCAAUUCCUUUGAGUUUUAAUCUUGCGACCGUACUUCCCAGGCGGGAUACUUAACGCGUUAGCUGCGUCACCGAGACAAUUAGGUGUCCCGACGACUAGUAUCCAUCGUUUAGGGCGUGGACUAC